UACGGGGGGGGCAAGCGUUUGUUCGGAAUUACUGGGCGUAAAAGGGUUGUAGGCGGCCAACUAAGUCCGACGUGAAAUCCCAAGGCUUAACCUUGGAACUGCGUCGGAUACUGGAUGGCUUGAAUUCGGGAGAGGGAUACAGAAUUCCAGGUGUAGCGGUGAAAUGCGUAGAUAUUGGGAAGAACACCAGUGGCGAAGGCGGUUCUCUGGGACGGUACUGACGCUGAGACGGCGAAAGCGUGGGGAGCGAACAGG
rnacentral:rRNA from 1 species